UUCCGGUUGAUCCUGCCGGAGGCUACCGCUAUUGGAGUUCGAUUAAGCCAUGCGAGUCGAGAGUCUUAGGGACUCGGCGUACCGCUCAGUAACACGUGGGUAACCUGCCCUAUGCUGGGGAAUAACCUCGGGAAACUGAGAAUAAUGCCCCAUAGUCCACUACGCCUGGAACGGUGAGUGGAUCAAAGCUCCGGCGGCAUAGGAUGGGCCUGCGCCGUAUCAGGUUGUAGGGGGUGUAAAGUACCCUCUAGCCAUCAACGCGUACGGGUGUUGGGAGACAUUGCCCGGAGAUGGUUUCUGAGACACGAAACCAGGCCCUACGGGGCGCAGCAGGCGCGAAAACUUCGCAAUGCGGGAAACCGUGACGAGGGAACUCCAAGUGUCUAUGCAAUGCAUAGACUGUUUUUCAGCCUAAAUAGCUGUUAGAGUAAGGGGUGGGUAGGACCGGUGCCAGCCGCCGCGGUAACACCGGCACCCCGAGUGGUAGCCACUAUUAUUGGGCCUAAAGCGUUCGUAGCCGGUUUAGUAAAUUCUUGGGUAAAUCGUACAGCUUAACUGUGCGGAUUCCGGGGACACUACUAGACUUGAGACCGGGAGAGAUUAGAGGUACUUGCAGGGGAGCGGUGAAAUGUUGUAAUCCUGCAGGGACCACCAGUGGCGAAGGCGUCUAAUCAUAACGGCUCUGACGGUGAGGAACGAAACCCUGGGGCGCAAACGGGAUUAGAUACCCCGGUAGUCCAGGGCGUAAACGCUGCUGACUUGGUGUUGGAGAUCCUACGAGGGUGUCCAGUGCUGGCGCGAAGGUAUUAAGUCAGCCCGCCUGGGGAGUACGGUCGCAAGACUGAAACUUAAAGGAAUUGGCGGGGGAGCACUGCAACGUGUGAGCGUGCGGUUUAAUUGGAUUCAACGCCGGAA
rnacentral:rRNA from 1 species